CACGAUGCUGCAAGAUGCUACAGCCGCACGAUGCUACUGCGGCACGGUGCUACUGUGGCACGAUGCUAAUGCCGCACGAUGCUGCUGCGGCACGGUGCUACUGUGGCACGAUGCUAAUGCCGCACGAUGCUACUGCGGCACGAUUCUACUGCGGCACGGUGCUACAGCGGCACAGUGCUAAUGCCGCACGAUGCUGCUGCUGCAAGAUGCUGCUGCUGCAGGAUGCUACUGCGGCACGAUGCUGCUGCCGCACGAUGCUACUGCGGCAGGAUGCUAAUGCCGCAUGAUGCUACGGCCGCAUGAUUCUACAGCUGUACAAUGCUAAUGCCGCACCAUGCUACAGCCGCACGGUUCUACAGCUGCACGGAGCUAAUGCCGCACAAUGCUAAUGCUGCACGAUGCUACUGCGGCACGGUGCUACGGCCGCACAUAGCAACCAUUGUUCAUCUGAUGGACAGAGAACCAGUUUUGGUUCAAGAACCAGAAAGGAUCAACUUUCCCCACAAAACAAGCCAGACUCUGGUUUGGGUCGGCUCCAGAACAAUAGCCGGGUUGUGAUUGCUGUGGCGUGUGGGGCCUGCUGCGGGAAGGAGGCGGCCCGAGGAAUGCAGCAACGUUCUGCCGGUCCUUGUUCGGACUCCCACAGGUUCUGCAUGCCAACAUUCCCUUUGCAUGCAGAGCUGCGUCUCUGACCGGACCAUCUGCCCGUUGGCCCGCUAGUUACUGCAGCUAACCACUGAUUCUGAUGCAGUGUAACCGGAGCCUUUCUGCGUUGUGCUGGUUUUAUUGAUUGAUCAGGCUGUGACACAGUUUGUCUUUAAAAUGGAUGAUUUCUUGAUUUAUUCUGACGAGAACAAACAGAAAGCAAUCGUUACAGGCCGCCUGCUCCAAGUCCUACACAAAACAAAAAUACAUAACAGAAUUUAACUUAAUAAAUCUAACAGUGUUGUGUCAUCAGGACUCAGUAGCUCAAUAAGCAGCGUUGCUGCAGAUCCUUCCUGCAGCUGUUAGAUUCCAACCAUCGCUGCCUCCACCAAACUGCAUUAGUAUUCAAACCCCUGCAGUUUUUAUUUUCUCUUAUCGACAAUAAUCUAAUAAAAAAUAAAAAAAAACAGUUUUUUGAGUGUAAAAGUUGCAUUUUUGAUAAAAUUCAACUUUUGCUGUUAAAAUCCUCGCUUUACUGGAUAUUAUUUUAUUUGUUUUUAUUUUUCAUGUUUUAUGAUACUUUGCUGAUGUUACACCUGAAUUUUCCUCCUGAGGAACAACUUACUGUUUUACUUCUCUGCUGUUAUUGCACGUGUAUUUUUUACGCUAAAGUCAUUAUAUUCUGUUCCACUUCCUUUGGAUCAUGAAGACGAUAUUUCUGUUAAACUGUACACUAUGAUAUUAAUGUAUUUAUAAAUGUUUGACCUUUUGUGUGACCUUGGUGUCUGUUGCAAACCACAAGCAGCUUCAUGACUCAGAAUCCAACCUGGAAGAUCAGCAGACAUAAGAUCUUAAAUUGAGAUUCAGACACACAGACAGAAUCUGGAAAAUCCAAACAUCAAAUUUUAUUUUGAAAUGACUUGUUUCUGUUUUCUUUUUUGCAUGGUUUUUUUUGGAAAAUCUUCACCAAAUGAUAAAAGAUAGAAAAAUGAAAACAAUAAAACUCUUGUAGAAACUAAUAAAGACAGAAAAAUGAUUCUUUUUCUUUAUUCUUGGGGCAGGGAGAGUUGAAACAGAAUAAAACCAAGCGCCUCACAUCCUGCAGGAGCAGCCAAUCACAGCGCAGCGUCUUCCAGCUCCCAUGAUGCACCUCUCUCCACUAAGGCAGCCGCAUCACCGUUUGCAUGAACCGAUCUGCAUUU